CGGCGGACGGGUGAGUAACACGUGGAUAACCUACCUAUAAGACUGGGAUAACUUCGGGAAACCGGAGCUAAUACCGGAUAAUAUAUUGAACCGCAUGGUUCAAUAGUGAAAGACGGUUUUGCUGUCACUUAUAGAUGGAUCCGCGCCGCAUUAGCUAGUUGGUAAGGUAACGGCUUACCAAGGCAACGAUGCGUAGCCGACCUGAGAGGGUGAUCGGCCACACUGGAACUGAGACACGGUCCGG
rnacentral:rRNA from 1 species